CUGCAGAUCCGCCAUCGUCCGCGUCUUUCGCGCGCUCCGCCCGCGGCUAUCUGCGGUUGCGGAUCUUAGCCCAUGGUUGUGCUCUGUUGUGGAUUGGAUUAAGGGUGCAAGACGCCACUGGCGAUUGAGCGGGCGAGCAGCUGCAGGCGCCAUGUGCGUGGCGGCUGAUGCGGGAACAUGAGCAGUCGAGCGAGGACGAGGAUUUGCCAGCCAGCCGGAGGCCACGAUCGACAUGUACAACGGCGGAAAGGCGGCCAUGGUCAGUUGGGUGGGAUGCGCGAGAAUCUGCAGCGCGACGGAAGUGCAGCGGCCAAGAAUGGAAGCGCCUUUGGAGAUGAAGGAUUUACUCCAUAUCUUCGUUUCAUCCACGUCAAGCUGACCCGUAAAGGAAACCCAUGCUCUUACCUGAGGAUUCAGUCCAUAUUCAGGUGCGCCCUUUCCUUAACGAACUAUGGAAACUCACUGAGUCAUUGUGAAUAAUCACAAAAUCCAAAAUCCUGAUUUGGCAUAUUAAAACUUGUGUGCACAUCCUUCUUAUUUAUGGGACUGUGAAUAUAGAACAACAUUGGAGCUGAUAUAAUCAUGGCUCUUGACGAUGUUGUGAAGACCACAAUUACUGGCCUCCUGAUCUGAUCCCCUUGGCUGUGUCCACUGUUUGCCAAAGUAAAUUUGUAGCGAGAAGCUGCUAAAGAAAGGAGAAAAGGAACAUACCGGCCUCGAUCUUUUAUUUAGGUAGGCAGCUAGAGCCUAAUGUAUGAAAGAGGAAUUAGCAUGAGGCAGCGAAGGGCAUAGCAUCUCCGCAGAUGGAGAGAGAACACAAAGAUUUUUUUGGCGGCGCUAUGCAAAUUAUCAGGCAAUAUAUUAACAUAUGAUAAUUUUUUUUCCACGAAGAGUGCUUGGACCUGGUCUUAUGUUAGAAAAUUCUUAGUUUUUGGUCAGAUCUGGAUCCAGUGGGCAUGCCUAUCAGCGUCAUCGGUUCUCCUUGUCUUUAGACUUGCUUUCAAGAUACUCGACUAGGAUCUCUUGCUAAUGAGGUGCAGCCUUUCCUCUCUGCCUGAUCAUGUACUUUGCAUUUAUGUGUGUUGCCAGGCUGUCCCUUUCUUGAGGCUUUACUAUUGGAUUUCAAUAUAUGUCUCUUUUUCAUUGAUUAAGUUGAUACAAAUAACAUUGAUUUUGUGUCUACUUUUUUGAAGAAAUACUCUCAGAUUGCUUGAAAUGAUGGGGUGGCUGACCAUUUGCAUAUUCUGCAAUUUUCUUUUGAUUUGGAUAUCUGCAGUACUUCUCAUUGUCUUCUUAUAUCGUCACUGUGAUGGAACUAAAUACCACUCGCACCUGUGUGCACGUCUGAUGUUUUUCUGCAUAUUAUGUAGCUGGUAAUACUGACCAAAUUUAAUCGAUAGUUCUACUUGAUAUUAUGGUGCAUUCUCAUUCAUCUCAAUAUAUAUCAUUAACUGAUGUUAUGACCCAUCUUGUUUGAUGGUCUGGGCUAUUACCUUGCUUGCUCCAGACCCAUUUGAUUAUUGUCUGACUCCUAAUUUACUAUUGUUUAUCAGGGUUCAGGCAAGUACCUAGCAGAUAUGGGUCAAGUGAUGAUGAUUAUGCGGAUUCGGAUGACACUACACCUGAACACCAAAUUAUCGGUCACCUGUUCUGCAUCUCCGGGUCACAUAUGGGCACAGGACCUGUUACAACAAAUACUUCACCACCGGGCUGGAAAAAUUUGGGUACAUUCUGGACAAUGUAAGAUGUUGAAUGACAAUACACCCGUAUUAUUUUGGGUGUUAUGUGGUGUCAGAUUAUGCGAGCAUCGGAAUUUUGAACAAAAAUAGUGGCCUUAGGGUCCUCAUAAUGGAGAUAAUAUCCAGUCAAGCCCGGUCGACUAUGCGAGCCCUCGGUUCUGAGGUAGCUCCAUUAUUUGUGUGCCUUGCUUUUCUUGUCCAUGUUGCCUUGCCUUGAUGGUAUGAACCCAGCCAUAUGGUAUCAGGAUGGUCUUAAUUCUAUUAUGGGUUUGAUUUUUGAGUAUAAUUUUAUGAUUAGACCUAGGCCUGAAACUAUUAGAAGAGUUGUUCCAGAUCUAAAACUAUUAAAAGAGCUAUAUAUGGUACCUAUUUCUGGGAGCAGUGAGGUUCCUGUUUCUGUUCCAGGUAUGAAACUAUUGUCGUUGAUGCCAUUUAUUUAAGAGCUAACCCCAUACACAAUACAAUUUUAGAUAUGAAGUUUUAGUUUCAGUUUCAGGCUAAGAAAAUGAACUUUUGUUCAUAAUAUGUUAGCAACUCUAAAACAUGGAGAGUUGUUCAUCGUGAAUUUAUCUGAAUAAAAUGAGGCAUCUAGCUUGGGUUCAUCUAAAAAAGUACAUUAUGAUGCUAAUAACAUAGUACAGUUUAUACAUUGUUUGGAUGAUGCUUGCAUUAGAAAAUUCAUGUGCAUCAAGGAGUUCAUUUCUUGGAUGAUGUUUGUGCUGAAUACCAUGUCACACCACAAGAGCCUGAGGCCGUGCUGAUUGUUUGCCUUUUUUGUUUCAGACAGCUAGGCAUUACUAAUUUUGGUUUAUGAAUCACUCCCUCAUCUAAUAAAAAAUUCCUGGCUGUUUUGAGAUAAUUUACACAUGCAAAUUUCAUGGACAUGAUCUGAUAGAAUCAAAUAGCACUUCAUGAAGACAGGCUUGUUUCAUGUCCUAAUGUACUUUCUAUGCCAAGUAUUUUACCCGCUGAAUUCAUUUUGAGUCUUUCUGUUGUAGUUGUAGCACUUCAUGAAGACAGGCUUGUUUCAUGUCCUAAUGUACUUUCUAUGCCAAGUAUUUUAUCUGAUGAAUACUUUUUGAGUCUUUCUGUUGUAGUUGUACCACUUCAUGUUGUGCAUGAUACUACUGUAGGACAAUGAUGAUAUCUUCUUGGCCAUGUGAUCUUGACUUGCAAGGUUUAGGAAAUUCACUGUGAUAUUUUUACGAUUUUAGAACCUCGAUACAUCCCAUCUCUCUCAUGAUAUCUACACCUUCUCCUUCCAUGAAAUUUACUUAAUUUGGAAGAGGACACAUAUAAAAUCUGCUAAUCGGUGAAAUAUUAGACACGCAUGUCCAGAAUUAAGCAGACAAUUCUAGAUAUUCUUGGCUAUUUUUGUUCUGGUAGAAAUAGAUAAGCCUAUCCAUUCUGAAAUGUACUUGGCACAAGGAAAUUCUUUUGAUUAAAGAAAAGUUUCUGCCUUAUCAGAGGUCUACUUAAUUUUUAUCUGUUAGUGGUAGUAUUUUAAAUGUAACCGAGUUACUGCUGAGUUCAUAAUAUUUGGAAAAAUGUUGAAUGCUUAUUUUAUCAGCAACAACUUCUAAUAUGCACUCUUUGUAAGGUGUUCACGAUAUCUUGCAUCGGCACUUGAGCCAGUACUGUUCCUUUGCUCUAUGUAUCAUCACAUUUGAGAAAUUUUCCCGGUUGAUGUCAUGGUGUUACCUUAUUGGUAUGCCGACAUGGGUUGUGAUUUGCGAGGAGAGACCGAGACAGAAGGAGAGUUGGGUAGAGGAAGGGCAAGGGAGGACAUACCACGAUCUGCAAGUACCAUGGAGGCUGAUGAUGAACAUGCGUGUGGACCCCUCUUUGUACCUAUGCAACAUCCUAGGCUUCUUUGGCUUAGAUGAAGGAGAAGACUUUUGUUGCCGCUCCUUUCCCCUGCCCACGCUGCAGCUAAUCGAAAAGAACGCAGCCUGAUCAUUGGUUCAAACCGUUCAAGGUUUAAAGGUCAUGUUCUACAUGUUACGGUGCCUUCGGUUCGUAACGGUGAAGCCAAUGGACAUGCAGUUCAGCUGGCGGAUAACAUAUUUGGCAAGGAUACACCACUUGUCCCAGAAAUAGUUGUCGAACAUUUGCCUAUAUAUGCUAAGUGAUAAAAAGUGGGUCAUUCUUCACUGAUCACUUUUGCAUAUGUUCAACAUGAAUCGACAAAAGAUAUACAUGCAGAUAUGGAACAAACCCUAUGGAAGACGUGACCAAUGCAGAUGGCAAGAAAAACAUCACUUAAUUCCCUCUAAGGAGAGUUGCCUAAUAGGUAGCACAGGUCACCAAUAGCUGUUUUCUUCCUGCUAUCUACGUGCCGUGGGAUAUUAGAGUUAUGUUCCUCUCUUUUGCUAUGGUAUUGUGCUAUGAAUCAAGCGUCCGAUGCAAUGGUUGUCUUCUGCAUCUCUUCUGGGUUGUGCAAAGAGACAUGUGUAUAUUCAUGGUUUACUACCUGUCUGCUCCGCUCUCAUUUUUAGUUCUUUGUAGUUUGUACUACCUCUCAUACUCUGUUUGGAGAAAAGACUUUCUAGGUGUGCUUAAAAUUUAUAAGAAAUGGAUUAUCA